UUCGAUCUUCAACUAUUACCAAGAUAAUCUGCGUGUUUUGUUUUUGAUUUUCAAGCUCUGUGUUAUCUCUCAGCUCUGUGUAAAGACAGAGAGAUAGAGGGAUUUUCAAGCUCCGUGUUAGUAUUGAAGGGUUAGAUUUAUCCCAAUUUUUUGACGGUCAUGAUCUUGUAAUAGGCUUGAGCGAGAAACUUAGUUUUUUCAAAAUCAGUUGUAUUUUGUAUAGAUAGAUUUGACACAACUUUUCAGUCCAUCGACAAAAAAACUCUACUUCUAGAAAGAGAGUUCACCUUUUGCCCUAACAUUUAUUAACAAAGUAUAUAUAAAGAAAUGCAUACAUAAAAAUAGAAUCGUGAACUCAUAUUUAAGAGUCCUAGCAUCCUUUUAGAUAUAAGACAUCUGAUUUAACUACUAAUGGACCAAAUAUUACACACAUAUAUUCAGAUAGCAC
rnacentral:lncRNA from 1 species